UCUAAUGUGGCAGAUUAGUGUAAUGAAUUUAAGCUUCAUAAAUAAAGUUGACCUUUCUUUAGAA
rnacentral:tRNA from 1 species